rnacentral:rRNA from 1 species
AGCAGUAGCCACGGGAAUACGGAGGGAGCUAGCGUUGUUCGGAAUUACUGGGCGUAAAGCGCGCGUAGGCGGUUACUCAAGUCAGAGGUGAAAGCCCGGGGCUCAACCCCGGAACUGCCUUUGAAACUAGGUGACUAGAAUCUUGGAGAGGUCAGUGGAAUUCCGAGUGUAGAGGUGAAAUUCGUAGAUAUUCGGAAGAACACCAGUGGCGAAGGCGACUGACUGGACAAGUAUUGACGCUGAGGUGCGAAAGCGUGGGGAGCAAACAGGAUUAGAUACCCCUGUAGUCCCUGUCUCUUAUAC